UGAGCGGCGAACGGGUGAGUAACACGUAGGUGAUCUGCCCAUCAGACGGGGACAACGAUUGGAAACGAUCGCUAAUACCGGAUAGGACGAAAGUUUAAAGGUGCUUCUGGCACCGCUGAUGGAUGAGCCUGCGGCGCAUUAGCUAGUUGGUAGGGUAAAGGCCUACCAAGGCGACGAUGCGUAGCCGACCUGAGAGGGUGAACGGCCACACUGGGACUGAGACACGGCCCAGACUCCUACGGGAGGCAGCAUG
rnacentral:rRNA from 1 species